rnacentral:rRNA from 1 species
UACGUAGGGUGCAAGCGUUGUCCGGAAUUAUUGGGCGUAAAGAGCUCGUAGGCGGUUCGUCGCGUCGGCUGUGAAAACCCGGAGCUCAACUCCGGGCCUGCAGUCGAUACGGGCGGACUCGAGUUCGGCAGGGGAGGACUGGAAUUCCUGGUGUAGCGGUGAAAUGCGCAGAUAUCAGGAGGAACACCGGUGGCGAAGGCAGGUCUCUGGGCCACUACUGACGCUGAGAAGCGAAGCAUGGGGAGCGAACAGG